CUAUGAGACAUUGCUUCAACAAACUGCUUCUGAGCUUUAACCUUUCUAGUAGAGCCAUCAGGGGCCUUGCGGUACUUAUGCCAGAAAUGGACGAGAUCAGCAUCACGCUGGUUAACAGCUUUUGAAGGAGGUCUCAAAGAGUUUUCAUCCACAAAAGUAUAGUUAUCAUUUGCAGGAUUUGUACCCAUAUACAGGAAGAGAUUAUUUGUGCUAAGUCCUGUAUCACCAUAUUGCAUGACAUGAGAGCCAUAUGCAGAAUUGUCAUUCGCAGUUCUCCUUUUAACCAGUUGAUAUUGUUGGUGUAAAGUUUCUGUCUGUAAAUUGUGUAUGUCACUGUCCUCCAUCCAAGCAACACUAUA
rnacentral:misc_RNA from 1 species